rnacentral:lncRNA from 12 species
CAGUCACAAAACACUUUUCAUAUAAAUUAUUUUCUUCAAACCUGACCUCUUAAUUUGUUCCCCUCCUGAGGGUAAUGCACAGAAAGAGAAAAAGUAUUUUAGACAAUCUGCCUAUUGAUAAUUGAGCAGUCCAUUUGAUGGCUACUUAAGAUACUUCCUUAAUCUUUUUCAGUGAACCUCAUCAAACAAGAAUUCCUGACUCACAUAAAUCUUUGACAGAUACAAUCGAUAUUCCAAAGUAGCAGAUGCAGAAAUUUACAGUAUAUUUUAAAACCUAAUUGAUUUAUAAAACCACAUGGAAGUAUUGCCAAGAUCAAUUCCUGUAAUUUGCUGGGAGACGGGUAUGGUGUUUUGAGAACAGCUCAACGGUGACCAGCAGUCUUGUCUGGAGGAAAAGGGAUAAGUUAAAACUCAGAUUCUAGGCCUGACUCUGCCACUGUGUGGUCCAGGAACUCAGCCCUGGUCCCCUGGUACUUCGUCUGUGAGAUGAGGAUGUUGGCACAAUUGUCACAGCUUGAUAUACAUUUGUAAAGCAGUUUAAAAGUGUUCUAAUUGUUUUCACACACUUUGGCUUUAUUUUUCAUAGUGGCCCUGUGAAACAGCUAGACCAUGGUUUAGCAUCUAGCAUUUGUAAUAAGAAAAGAAGUUAUGGGAAAUCCAGAGAAGUUCAGAGGCAUGCUCAGUGUUACACGGCUUGAACAAGGCCUCCGGGCUUUUAGGAGUGCAUCUCGAACUCUGGAGACACCUGAUGCUGUUCCAGAGGGACUGCCCAUAUGGAAACAGGUGUUUUCUCAGCCUGCUGACCAUCAGCUCCACCAAGGCCAAAAGGAGAUUAAGGGAAGCCUAGAAGGGAAAGGCAGUAGAAUUCAACCAGAAGCCUUGUGUUCUGCUCUGCUCACAUCCUAUUCACUCCAUUGGUGAGAGAUUUUCUAGCCUUAAUAGUAUGAGAUGGAUGAACACAUGCACCUGAAACUGGGCAGGUGAGAUUUACAGCAUUUUACUACUCACAUAUAUUUACAGCAUGAGGGAGGAAGACAGCACAUGGAAGCAAGGCCACUCAGGGGUUACACUGAGAAAUAGAGUGAAUAAAUAGGGCCUAUGGGAGGAAGGCUUUGUAGUA